GCUGAACACAGCUUCAACCGUCUGUUUGUUGAAAAAUAGUAACGUGACCGCAUUUUCUUGUUAGUAACUGUAACGGCGUUGUAACGAUAGGAAUAGUAAUUAGUUAGAUUACAAACUGGAUUUUCUCUACAGGAACUCUGUAUUAUGGGUUAAUAAACACCAGAAAUGGGUUUUGAUACAAUUUGAAGAAACAGAUUCUAAAAACUGAAUUUCUCAAAACUAAAUUUGUUUGUAAUUGUGAGUUUUUGUUUUAUUCACUGUGUGUGUUUGUUCUACUUUUUACAUUUUCUAUUUUUUCUUUUUCUUUUUUUUUUGCUGUGUACAGCACUUUGGUCAACCUGUGUUGUUUUCAAAUGUGCUUGAAUGAGUUUAUGGACACUGUCACCUCCUAUAUCCACUUCUGCGAGGACAACCCUGGUUUACUCCUAAACUCAAACAGCUGUGGUUAGAGAAGAGAAAGGUGUUCAGAAGCGGAGGCAGGGACUGCUACAGAGAGGCCAAGUACAGGUUCAGUAAAGAAGUGGAUAUUGCUAAACAUCAGCACCCUGAGAAGAUGCAGCAGCAGAUCUCUUGAUUGAAUUUGGAAAAAAGCUGGGGUAACUGAAACUAUUUUGAACUGUGGAAGGUUAAGUGUGACCUACUUAACAGCAACUCUGAUUAUUUGUUCUUUUGUUUUAUUUCACUUUGGGGACACGACCUCAUUUUAGGUUUGACAGUGUUUUUUAAUAGCUAAAGACAAAUGACUUAAACAUGAAUUGAGCUGCCGUUUGGGGAAAGCCAAUAAAUAAAAAUAAAAAUAAAAACAAAAAACUGCUCAGUCCAUAUGUCAGAUUCUGAUCACCAUAAGUAACAAAUUACCUUUCUGUUUCAUGCUUGUGAUCUUUAUCAUGGCAGCCCAAACCUUUUUCACUCAAUCUUAUUGCAACUUAUGUUCUAGUUUGAUUCUGUACAAUUCAUUUCCCUCCUUAAUCUUCACCCUCAGUUCUCUGUGAAGCUUUUAUUCCUGUCACCCUCCCUGAAAGCCUUUUCCUUCCCAUUCAGCAGUUCCUUCUGGCUGGUUAUAACCCAUGCCUUGUUAUUAGGAAACAGCAAAUUUCUUUAGAGGGCAAGAUUUCCUUCUGUUAAUUAAUAUUGUCCCCAUACAGCUCACAGAAAAGAUCUCUUGCUCUGUUGUAUAAAAACAGCUUUUCAGGACUUCAUCAGCUUGAAGAUACCAGCAUUUUGAUGUUUUGGUGGUGACUGGAAGGCUCUCAUAUGUAGGAGGGAG
ensembl:lncRNA